rnacentral:rRNA from 1 species
GACGAACGCUGGCGGCGUGCUUAACACAUGCAAGUCGAACGGAAAGGCCCUGCUUUUGUGGGGUGCUCGAGUGGAGAACGGGUGAGUAACACGUGAGUAACCUGCCCUUGACUUUGGGAUAACUUCAGGAAACUGGGGCUAAUACCGGAUAGGAGCUCCUGCUGCAUGGUGGGGGUUGGAAAGUUUCGGCGGUUGGGGAUGGACUCGCGGCUUAUCAGCUUGUUGGUGGGGUAGUGGCUUACCAAGGCUUUGACGGGUAGCGGGCCUGAGAGGGUGACCGGCCACAUUGGGACUGAGAUACGGCCCAGACUCCUCCGGGAGGCAGCGGUGGGGAAUAUUGCACAAUGGGCGGAGGCCUGAUGCAGCAACGCCGCGUGCGGGAUGACGGCCUUCGGGUUGUAAACCGCUUUCGCCUGUGACGAAGCGUGAGUGACGGUAAUGGGUAAAGAAGCACCGGCUAACUACGUG